rnacentral:rRNA from 1 species
GACGAACGCUGGCGGCGUGCUUAACACAUGCAAGUCGAACGUGAUUUUUGUGGAAAUUCUUUCGGGAAUGGAAAUGAAAUGAAAGUGGCGAACGGGUGAGUAACACGUGAGCAACCUACCUUACACAGGGGGAUAGCCGUUGGAAACGACGAUUAAUACCGCAUGAGACCACAGAAUCGCAUGAUAUAGGGGUCAAAGAUUUAUCGGUGUAAGAAGGGCUCGUGUCUGAUUAGCUAGUUGGAAGGGUAAAGGCCUACCAAGGCGACGAUCAGUAGCCGGUCUGAGAGGAUGAACGGCCACAUUGGAACUGAGACACGGUCCAAACUCCUACGGGAGGCAGCAGUGGGGAAUAUUGCACAAUGGGGGGAACCCUGAUGCAGCGACGCCGCGUGAGCGAAGAAGGUUUUCGAAUCGUAAAGCUCUGUCCUAUGAGAAGAUAAUGACG